GACGAACGCUGGCGGCGCGCCUAAUACAUGCAAGUAGAACGCUGAAGGAGGAGCUUGCUCUUCUGGAUGAGUUGCGAACGGGUGAGUAACGCGUAGGUAACCUGCCUGGUAGCGGGGGAUAACUAUUGGAAACGAUAGCUAAUACCGCAUAAGAGUAGAUGUUGCAUGACAUUUACUUAAAAGGUGCAAUUGCAUCACUACCAGAUGGACCUGCGUUGUAUUAGCUAGUUGGUGGGGUAACGGCUUACCAAGGCGACGAUACAUAGCCGACCUGAGAGGGGGAUCGGCCACACUGGGACUGAGACACGGCCCAGACUCCUACGGGAGGCAGCAGUAGGGAAUCUUCGGCAAUGGACGGAAGUCUGACCGAGCAACGCCGCGUGAGUGAAGAAGGUUUUCGGAUCGUAAAGCUCUGUUGUAAGAGAAGAACGAGUGUGAGAGUGGAAAGUUCACACUGUGACGGUAUCUUACCAGAAAGGGACGGCUAACUACGUG
rnacentral:rRNA from 1 species